rnacentral:lncRNA from 1 species
CCGAGGGCAUCCCCGCGCGGCCGCGCGCACCCCGGUCCGUGCGCGGCCCCGCGCGGCCCCGCGCACCGCUGCGGGAAGCGGAGGCGGUGGCGGUGGCGACCCGCCGGUGCUGGGCUCUCCCCGGAGCAGCCCGCAUCGCCCCCAGUUGUAUUCAGGGAAGAAGAAGGUGUCCUGGCAUGAGAAAAUGGAAGAAAUAUGCAGUGAGAGAAGAAAUGAUGUUCUAAAACUGAGUCCUAUUCUUUUUUUUUUUUUAAUGUGCAUCAAAAGAGAAUAUUAAGUAGUGUCUACAAUUUAGAAGAUUCAUCAAGAACCCCGAUAAGUACAAAUUAAGAACCUGACUCUGAUCCAUCCUUCAUAUUCCUUGUUUUUAAUUUAGACUUCGACUGAGCCAGAGGUACAGGAGCGUCUGGGAAGAAUCUGAAUAAAAAAGCAAGAGCAGAAAUGGUGCA